UACCAUGCAGUCGAACGAUGACGAAACAGCUUGCUGUUUCUGAUUAGUGGCGGACGGGUGAGUAAUGUAUAGGGAUCUGCCUAGUAGUGGGGGACAACAGCCGGAAACGGCUGCUAAUACCGCAUACGCUCUACGGAGGAAAGCGGGGGCUCGUAAGACCUCGUGCUAUUAGAUGAACCUAUAUCAGAUUAGCUAGUUGGUGGGGUAAGGGCCUACCAAGGCGACGAUCUGUAGCUGGUCUGAGAGGAUGAUCAGCCACACUGGGACUGAGACACGGCCCAGACUCCUACGGGAGGCAGCAGUGGGGAAUAUUGGACAAUGGGCGCAAGCCUGAUCCAGCAAUGCCGCGUGUGUGAAGAAGGCCUUCGGGUUGUAAAGCACUUUCAAUAGGGAGGAAAGGUUAUACAUUAAUACCGUAUAGCUGUGACGUUACCUAUAGAAGAAGCACCGGCUAACUCCGUGCCAGCAGCCGCGGUAA
rnacentral:rRNA from 1 species